UACGUAAGAGGCAAGCGUUGUCCGGAAUCACUGGGCGUGAAGGGUGCGCAGGCGGUCUAGUAAGUCAAAAGUGAAAUCCAUCGGCUCAACCGGUGAACUGCUUUUGAAACUAUUAGACUUGAGAAUAGGAGAAGAGAGUGGAAUUCCUGGUGUAGUGGUGAAAUACGUAGAUAUCAGGAAGAAUACCAAUGGCGAAGGCAGCUCUCUAGCCUAAUUCUGACGCUGAGGUACGAAAGCUAGGGUAUCAAAC
rnacentral:rRNA from 1 species